GAGGGUGUAGCUCAGUGGUAGAGCGUGUUCUUAGCAGGCACGAGGUCCUGGGUUCAAGCCCCAGUCCCUCCA
rnacentral:tRNA from 1 species